rnacentral:sRNA from 1 species
GCCAGGCAUGGUGGUGCACACCUGUAGUCCCAGCUACUCAGGAGGCUGAGGCAGGAGGACCGCUUGGGCCCAGGAGUUCUGGGCUGUCAUGUACUAUGCUGAUUUGGUGUCCACACUCAUGUACUAUGCUGAUUGGGUGUCCGCACUAAGUUCGUCAUCAAUGUGGUGACCACUCAGGAGUGGGGGGCCACCAGGUUGCCUAAGGAGAGGUGAGCCAGCCCAGGUCAGAACAGUGUAGAAGAAAACAGACCAGUGUGAAGGUAGAAAAGUAGCUUCUAUGUGAAAGGUUUUAACUUAUU